rnacentral:rRNA from 1 species
AUUGAACGCUGGCGGCAGGCCUAACACAUGCAAGUCGAGCGGAUGAAGGGAGCUUGCUCCUGGAUUCAGCGGCGGACGGGUGAGUAAUGCCUAGGAAUCUGCUGGUAGUGGGGGAUAACGUCCGGAAACGGGCGCUAAUACCGCAUACGUCCUGAGGGAGAAAGUGGGGGAUCUUCGGACCUCACGCUAUCAGAUGAGCCUAGGUCGGAUUAGCUAGUUGGUGGGGUAAAGGCCUACCAAGGCGACGAUCCGUAACUGGUCUGAGAGGAUGAUCAGUCACACUGGAACUGAGACACGGUCCAGACUCCUACGGGAGGCAGCAGUGGGGAAUAUUGGACAAUGGGCGAAAGCCUGAUCCAGCCAUGCCGCGUGUGUGAAGAAGGUCUUCGGAUUGUAAAGCACUUUAAGUUGGGAGGAAGGACAGUAAGUUAAUACCUUGCUGUUUUGACGUUACCAACAGAAUAAGCACCGGCUAACUUCGUG